rnacentral:rRNA from 1 species
CAGCCGUAAACUAUGCGCGUUAGGUGUAUCGGUGACCACGAGUCACCGAGGUGCCGAAGGGAAACCGUGAAACGUGCCGCCUGGGAAGUACGGUCGCAAGGCUGAAACUUAAAGGAAUUGGCGGGGAGCACCACAACGGGUGGAGCCUGCGGUUUAAUUGGACUCAACGCCGGGAAGCUCACCGGAUAAGACAGCGGAAUGAUUGCCGGGCUGAAGACUCCGCAUGACUAGCUGAGAGGAGGUGCAUGGCGUAGACGUCU